GUCCUCUUGUUUUUAUAUGAGGUCUGACCUGCCCAGUGAAAUUUUAUUUUAACGGCCGCAGUAUUUUGACUGUGCAAAGGUAGCAUAAUCAUUAGUCUUUUAAUAGGGGGCUGGUAUGAAGGGUUUGACGAGGUGUUGACUGUCUCAUUUAAUUUGUAUUUAAAAUUUAACUUUUCAGUUAAAAGGCUGAAAUUAUAUUGGAAGACGAGAAGACCCUAUAGAGCUUUAUAAUUAUGAUUUUAAUUAUUUUUUGGUUAUUAUUUUUUAUUAUGAUUUUAAUUAUUUUGUUGGGGUGACAAAAAUAUAUAAAUAACUUUUUUAUUUAAGUAACAUUGAUUUAUGACCAUUAGAUCCAUUAUUAUUGAUUGUUAGAUUAAGUUACC
rnacentral:rRNA from 1 species